CUCGCGACGGUGGAUCUCUUGGCUCACGCAUCGAUGAGGAACGCGGCCAACUGCGAUACGUAGUGUGAAUUGCAGAAUUCAGUGAAUCAUCGAGUCUUUGAACGCAAAUGGCGCUCGCGACGCUCUCGCGAGCAUGUCUGUCUGAGUGUC
rnacentral:rRNA from 1 species